rnacentral:lncRNA from 1 species
GUUUGCCCAACCAUUUGAUGUCACGUCUCUAUUUAGUUCAUGGUCAUAUCUGAGAAGAGAAAAACAAAACAGUGGCAAACUUCAGAUAAACUGUGUCACCACAAGAAGCAAGGGUCCCCAUUUCAGGUUCCUGUGUCACUGAGGGAGACAGGUCAUAAACCAAGAUAUAAAUACAUGGCCGAAAGGUCAGAAUGGAUGAGCACCACCAAGGGAGCCCAAGCAAGACAACAAACAGAUGGUGUGAAUCGAAGGAAGAGAACUGUGUGUCCUCUCUCUUUUCCUUCCCCGGAGGCGAGAUGGAGAGCGAGUCAAUGCCAAUGCCUGGGAUUUGUCUCACAACUUCAAACAGAUUUGCAAAGCUGGUCUCCAACUUCGCUGAGUGUGGUGGCUCAUGAAUGUAUUUCCAGCACUCAGAAGUGAGGCAAGAGGAUCAAGCGUUCGAAGCCAGCCUGAACUGUGUAAUGCCAAGCUGUAAAUAAAUAGACUUACUCAAAAAAAAAAAAUGUAUUUUAACACUGCUCCUACAGGAUUAAGAGUAUA